GAUGAACGCUAGCGGCAGGCUUAAUACAUGCAAGUCGAGGGGCAACAGGGGUAGCAAUACCUGCUGGCGACCGGCAAACGGGUGCGGAACACGUACAGAACCUUCCUUUAAGCGGGGGAUAGCCCAUAGAAAUGUGGAUUAAUACCCCAUAGUAAUACUGGCUGGCAUCAGCUGGUAUUUAAAGAUUUAUCACUUAAAGAUGGCUGUGCGGCUGAUUAGGUAGUUGGUGCGGGAACGGCCCACCAAGCCAGCGAUCAGUAACUGGUGUGAGAGCACGACCAGUCACACGGGCACUGAGACACGGGCCCGACUCCUACGGGAGGCAGCAGUAAGGAAUAUUGGUCAAUGGACGCAAGUCUGAACCAGCCAU
rnacentral:rRNA from 1 species